rnacentral:misc_RNA from 1 species
UUUCCGUAGGUGAACCUGCGGAAGGAUCAUUCAUAAUAAGUGUUUUAUGGCACUUUUAUAAAUCCAUAUCCACCUUGUGUGCAAUGUCAGGGUUGAUUUUUCUCUCGAGAGGAUCAACCCCUAACAUCAACUAUAUCUCAACUCUUUGUCUGAAAAAUAUUUUGAAUAAAACAAUUCAAAAUACAACUCUCAACAACGGAUCUCUUGGCUCUC